GACGAACGCUGGCGGCAGGCCUAACACAUGCAAGUCGAGCGCCCCGCAAGGGGAGCGGCGGACGGGUGAGUAACGCGUGGGAACGUACCCUUUGCUACGGAAUAGCCUCGGGAAAACUGGGAGUAAUACCGUAUGUGCCCUUCGGGGGAAAGAUUUAUCGGCAAAGGAUCGGCCCGCGUUGGAUUAGGUAGUUGGUGGGGUAAUGGCCUACCAAGCCGACGAUCCAUAGCUGGUUUGAGAGGAUGAUCAGCCACACUGGGACUGAGACACGGCCCAGACUCCUACGGGAGGCAGCAGUGGGGAAUCUUAGACAAUGGGCGCAAGCCUGAUCUAGCCAUGCCGCGUGAGCGAUGAAGGCCUUAGGGUUGUAAAGCUCUUUCAGUGGGGAAGAUAAUGACUGUACCCACAGAAGAAGCCCCGGCUAACUCCGUG
rnacentral:rRNA from 1 species